rnacentral:rRNA from 1 species
UCAAAAACAUGUCCUUUUGUUUAUAAAUAUAAGGUCUAACCUGCCCAAUGAUUAAAUUGAAUGGCCGCGGUAUAUUAACUGUGCUAAGGUAGCAUAAUCAUUUGUCUUUUAAUUAAAGGCUAGAAUGAACGGUUGGACGAGGUAUUUUCUUUCUUUAAUUUAGUUGUAUGAAUUUAAUUUUUUAGUCAAAAAGCUAAAAUUUAUUUGGGGGACGAGAAGACCCUAUAGAUCUUUAUAUUUUAUUUUAUUAUAUAUUUUGGUUAUUAUUAAUUGUUUUAAUGAUUUAAUGUAUUUGAUUGGGGUGAUUAUAGAAUUUAAAUUAACUUCUAUUAUUUUUAUUCAUUAAUUAGUGUUUAUUUUGAUCCAUUUUUAUUGAUUAUAAGAUUAAGUUACCUUAGGGAUAACAGCGUAAUUUUUUCGGAGAGCUCAUAUCGAUGAAGAAGUUUGCGACCUCGAUGUUGGAUUAAAAUAAGUUUUAGGUGUAGGAGCUUAAUAACUAGGUCUGUUCGACCUUUAAUUUUUUACAUGAUCUGAGUUC